CUCUCUAGGACCCUAGAGGCCUGGCGUCUCUGCUCCUCCGGCCCAGCUCCUGCCCCGCCCGCCCGCUCGGCGCCCGGACCCCGCCGAGUUCCCCUCUGCAGGAGGGGCCGACCCUGGGCUUGGGUCCGGCAGGCGCGCGGUUGCCACGGUGCCAGAGGCGCGGGAGGCCUGGCCCUGCCCCUCCGGGUGUCGCGAACAGGUACCGUGGGUAAAAGAGGACUCAGACUCAGAUGGCAAUUCACAUACUUAUCUUAUAUUGUCAUAAUUCAUUUCAAUACAAUUACCACACACUAUGCAAUUAUCACACAAUAUUAAGUCUGCCAAUUACCACGUCCCUGUACCUGUACUGCGCAAGUCCUUAUGGGAGCACGACGUUUCCUCCCGCAGGGUCAGAGGGUCCGAUCCCUAGACGAAGGGCGUCGAGUCGGCGCUAGGCUAUCUGCCUCUCCGCUUGCCUCAUCCUCUGGUCUCAUCUGGUCGGAGGCGAUGCUCCUCCCAGUGGGAUCAGCUGUGCAUAGGUCUCGGUCGGUAGUCAGAUCAUCAGAUUGACUGGUCGACUGGUCAGUGGGACGGAUCGUCAACUUGCUUGGGGUCUUCAGCUCCUUUUAUACUAUUCUAACUGGGUGUUUGUGGUAUUGGUUCAGACUUAUCACACUGUCCAUUUCGUGGGCACACCCUGUCCAGUUCAGGGCACACCCUUAUCAGUUCCAUACUGCUUAAGGUUCUACUUUCAUAUCUUAUGGUUACACAUCACUCUUAUGAUUGUGUUAUAUUUAGGUUACAGCACUCUUAAAGUCACAGCACACUUUAGGAUUACAGCACACUUAGGGUUCUAAAAUUCCAUCUUAUUUCAAGGUGUUCCCCCACACCGGGUCGGCCAGAGUGUGCGGCACACAUGAGCGGCGAGCCGAGGCAAGGUGACACGGCUGCUUUGCUGUCGCCUACCCUUGCUCCUUUUAUGCACAGAACACUCCCCUAGGGCACAUUUCACCUGUGAAGCAGGAGAAGAGGCGUUAAUUGGGAAGCAGUGUUUUGCGGCAAAUCCGGAGUCAAAAUGAUCUUUCAGAGACAGAAGAGUUGGGUAAAAUAAAAAGUUUAUUGCCAGGCCAUGGCCAGCCUCAGGAAACGAGUCCUUAUAGACGGACCUUGAGCUAAGACAAUUUCUCCUUUUUAUACCUUGCUCACAGCCUACAGGGUGGCUCAAGUUGCAGUCAUACAGAAUAUAGCAAGGACGCGGUAAAGUGGCAUGAGGCGAUUUUCCAUGGUUUCAAGGUUGGGGGCUUACAUAAACAAAUUUCAAGGCUGCUUUCUAAUCUUUCUGGGAACAGGCUGCCCCACAAGAAGAGGAAGGCCCACCGGAGUUUCCAAAUAGGGACAAGUUGGCACAGACAGGGUUUUAGGGGUGGCUCACACAAAGUACAUAAACAGUGCAUUAUUGCUACAUUAAGCUGACACAGUUCAUGAACAAAUAUUUUACAGUAAUUAUCCAUUCCAAAUUAUGUUUGGCAUAACUCUUUCUACCUCAUUCCUCCCUGUUGUUACAUCAAACAGAAUCUUCAUUGAUUUGAACAGGACAAACAUAAUGGGUCUUUGCUCACAUUAGCAUUUGAUAUAUGUUGCACCCAGUGAGAAAGAACCAACCAGAGACUGAUAUUAAAUCCACACAGGAGUUUAUUACUGGCUGGGACCCGAGCUGAGCAUUGGACUCCAGCCUUGACUGGGGGGAGACAAACAUGUCUUAUACACCUUUGAGGCCAGCAGUUUCUAGGCCUCCCUAUGGGAUAGAACUAGUAAAGCAAACAAAAGGUACAGAAGCAGACCGUCCUGCUGUUAGAACAUUUGUAAAACAAUAGUUGAUUAAUUGUUACUUCUAAAGAGACUUUCUAAAGGGAGGAGGUUUUUAAGCUUCCUCCUCUGAGUUCAUCUAAAGGGCAGCCAGGUGGGUCAAGCAGCAAUAUGGAGCCUGUCUUGCUAAGGAGGGUCCUUCAAUAUGAUUGUGUGGAAUGGAUUCUUUCCAGUAUAAAUUUGGACAUCUAAUUAACUAAACAUGGUCCUACAGUCACCAGGAGUAUUAUCACCAUUUUGGGUCCCAUCAGAACCCCUAACCAUGCUUUUCAUCUAGAGAACUGCCAACUCCACAAGGGGUUGGUAUCCUAGGAACCAUACUUAGUUUCCAUCCACUUUAACCUUUCUUUCAGUUGGGUCAUGGAUUCCCUGACUACUCCUGACUGAUUUGCACAAUAAGAACAUUCUUCCCCU
rnacentral:lncRNA from 1 species